ensembl:lncRNA
CACGCAGCACUGGUGAACACAUCAGUAUGUUAAGUCCAAAUUGCAUGGCCGAAUUAUCGAGCUUUCUCCCUCCAUCUCCCUCUUUUGCUCCACUUCCAAGCCCUUUCCAUACUUGAAAUGUUUUGCAGGGUUACUGAGAUGUUACACUGUCACUGUGCAAGUCUGGAUUUUAAGUUACAAAUCCUCAGAGCCCUGAAGACCAACCAAGCGAGACUCUGAGUCACCCAAUGCAGUGUGUGCGUAUGUGCAAUUGUGUGUGUAGCUUUUGUAGAGCAGGGAGCGAGGCUGUACGAGAUGGGAAAACUCAAUGUCAGCCACACACAGCAAAGAACCAUCCAAGGCCUUUAGAUGUCAAGCACAAAAUUAAAACAUCUCUCUGAGCGCCGUUUGUGUGUAUUUGUCCCAGAAGCAAAUAGAUUCAGCCUGCAACCUGCGUGGAUGAUUAAUUACACAAACAGUUAUUAUGCUUGUCAGUUCACAGUGGGGUUAGGCCAAAGACGUCAUUAAAUUUCUCUCAGGGCUAAACGAGGUUUUAAUGGGUCUGUUAGAGUCAUCAGAAGAACCUAUGGAGACAGGAUUUUUUUUAAUUUUAUUUUACCUGAUAGAUUUUACAGUACCAUUUGUCGCAGCAGCCUUGGAGUGCACUCCCAGAUGAACAUACAUCAUUGCUUCAUGUAGGCUGAGAACUGGUGGAGCUGGUAGAACUGGUGGAGCUGCUCAGCGGCCAGUAGCUCUAUACUUACUUCCUCCUCCUACCAUUAUUCUUCAAAUGUGAUUUCAUUUACAUCAACAGCCACUAAGCCAACGUGUACUGAAUGAUUGUGUUUACAUCAGCGCUAACUUUGAUUGUAAAUUUUUUUGAUUUAGUUGCAGUCGUAGUCUUUUGACUAGAACAUCAUUUAGUUUUCUUUUAGUUUCAAUCGACUAAAUAUCAUAAGAUCAUAGUAGACUAAAUCUAAAGUUGAUUCAGUUGAAUAAAAUAUAAAGUGUUAAAGUUUGCCGUGGUUUUACCAGUGUGAGUUGCUCCAUGAUUUAGAAAGCGUUUCAUUUUCCUUGAUAUCAAAUGUGAAAUGUGUCCAUGUGUCUGCUCUUGCCUUCUUCCCAAGCACUGACAUUUGGUUGUAUUUUUCAUGAGAAACAGGGAGCAAGCGUGUUAGCAGAACCCUCCCACCCAGAUCAAACUGUGCGUGUCUAACCUUACCGCAGACAGACUGCUUCUGACUGGAGGACUUCCGAGCUUGUGCCGCCUUUCUACACAACCUAAUUGGUUCUGAUUGGAUCGUCUCUCCAGAAUGUUUUCAUUUAAUUUUUAUUAGUUGACGAAAGUGUCAGUACCUUUCAUCAUAGUUUUUGUACUCAUGCAUUCAUUUUGAUUUAGUUAUCCUCUUGCUUUCACUGAAAAAAAGAAAAGAAAAAGCAAUUGAUGAAAAAUAUGACAAAAAUUAUUAGUCAACGAAAUUAACACUGGUUUACAUGAUGUUAUUUGGCUUAAAUAACGCUGAAGUCUACAUUAACACCAGUAUUGGAAAAUCUUACCCAUAAAAAACUUUGUUACAUUUCUAUUGCUGCUUGUAAGUUCAAGUCCUCAUCCGGUUCUGUUCUAGGGCCUCUACUUUUUCUGCUGUUUAUAUCUGCUCCCUCUUCAGGACAUUUUGGACAUUUUUAAGAACUGCUAUGCACUGCUAAGCAGGUGACAUUCAGUUUCAACACAUUCCGUUUAGUUUUAAGAUAUUUCUAAGCAGCCACCCUAUGAUAGCUGGGAUAGGCACCAGCUCCCCCACAACCCUGAGAAUAUGUGGAAGACAGUGGAUGGAUAUUUCUGAGCUUCGGAUCUUGCAAAGGUGCUUAGACACUUUUAAAAGUUUGAUGGAUAACAUUAUUUUACAACUUAAGAAAAUAAUAGAUAUCCUUGUUUGUGUCUCUCACAGAUUUGGUAUUGGAAACUCCAGGUUCCUUUGCCACUUUUGCUAUAUCUUCUAUCAGGAACCUACAGGCGUGAUUACAAGUAAAGACAGAAAUCAGCCACCUGGUACAACCACUUCACUGUAUUAGAAAUCUCAGUCUAGAGCUACUUGGCGCCUUGACCUCAUCACCCUGCAUAUUCAUCACACUGGAUAAUUAGGACUGCAUUCUUGGAAAUAUGUGAUGUUUUGCAAGAACUACAGAUUUAUGGGUAUAGCAUCUGAACAUCGAUAUCAGCUUUAUUUAUGGUAAAAAUGUUGCAAAAUGUACACGCUUGUAGAAUAAAAUGUGAGAACGUGUUAAAAAAAACUUUGAAAUUGUAAUUGAAUAUUUUCCCUUGUAAAAAUGCUUCAGACGCUUGUGUUUAAGUUACUGUAAAAUAAGUAAAUAUCAGUAAAUAUGCCAUUUACUGAAGGUGGUGGAAAUGUUGUGGUUAUAUAAAUUGUUUUGGGUAAAUGUUAAAAAAAAAGAAUAGGGCAUGGAGAGUUUUAAAUUCAGUUAUUAUUAUAAUAAACAUUGACUUUUUCCCAGGGGGGAGAGGGAUACAUUACUAUAAGAAAAUAAAAUAAAUUGCAUUGGAUCAGCCAAAUUAUUAUUUUGUAUAUCAGUACUGGGCCAGUGCAUCCUUAUUAAGCUCCGGGUGUGGGAUUUAAGUGGUUGAUUUAGCCUUAAACAGGAAUUUCCUCUUGGAUACUUCAUCCAUAAAAUAAUCAUCCACAGUUUAUAUGCUGGUGUGUAACACGUCACAAUAAAAU